GACGAACGCUGGCGGCGUGCUUAACACAUGCAAGUCGAACGGAAAGGCCCUGCUUUUGUGGGGUGCUCGAGUGGCGAACGGGUGAGUAACACGUGAGUAACCUGCCCUUGACUUUGGGAUAACUUCAGGAAACUGGGGCUAAUACCGGAUAGGAGCUCCUGCUGCAUGGUGGGGGUUGGAAAGUUUCGGCGGUUGGGGAUGGACUCGCGGCUUAUCAGCUUGUUGGUGGGGUAGUGGCUUACCAAGGCUUUGACGGGUAGCCGGCCUGAGGGGGUGACCGGCCACAUUGGGACUGAGAUACGGCCCAGACUCCUACGGGAGGCAGCAGUGGGGAAUAUGGCACAAUGGGCGGAAGCCUGAUGCAGCAACGCCGCGUGCGGGAUGACGGCCUUCGGGUGGUAAACCGCUUUCGCCUGUGACGAAGCGUGAGUGACGGUAAUGGGUAAAGAAGCACCGGCUAACUACGU
rnacentral:rRNA from 1 species